UGUUAGUUCCCUCGUGGAAGAACUGAAGACUGAGGCAGGAGAGAGCUGAGAGAAGAAGCUCUCUGCGGGCGCUGGAGGUUGUGGAGUGGACACAUGGACGGGUUGCAAGGGCAGCAAUUCUAUUAGAAGACUUCCGAGCAGUAUUUUGAAGAAAUGAAGACUGCACUGGGAGAAGAUGCUGCUGGACCACAGGACCACAGUUUGCAAGAAUUCUAUUCUAACAGGAGGCCUUCACUCUGAAGAAGCAAAGAUCAAGUAACGAGAAUCUCUCCCGCAGAAUCCUCAACAGCCAAAGAAGUGGAGAAUAUCCCCCAGGGGAUCCUCGACAGCCCUCCCACCACCCUCGAAAUCCCUCUCACAGCUCCUUUUGGAGGAGAAGGAAUGAACUCUACGAAAGGUUAAAUACAAGUUUGUCGUGUAUCAGAGACAAGGAAUAACUUUUAGCAGACAUUUCUAGAAACUGUUACCCAGUAUUUUACUUUGUCCAUGCAUUAUUUUGUGUUGUCAUAAUUAGAAUUUUUCCCUCAA